GCGAGAGUGGCGGAAUUGGCAGACGCGCUGGAUUUAGGUUCCAGUGGUUAACACCGUGGGGGUUCGAGUCCCCCCUCUCGUACCA
rnacentral:tRNA from 1 species